UAAAACCCUACCACUCUACUACCAUCACACCUGCGCCUCCACAGUCCACACUCACCGCGCUCGCCCCCUCACAACGAAACCUAGAGAGUCCCGCGCGUGACAUGGCGGACGGCGCGGGCUCGGCGUCUGGUCUGGUGGAGAAGCUCGCGGAGCUUUCAACGGGCGGCGCCGGGCAGAAUCCUCCGCCGGCGGGUGAAGGCGGAGAGGAGCUGCAGCUCUCGAAGAACGCGAAGAAGAGAGAGGAGAAGAGGAAGAAGCUGGAAGAGGAGCGGAGGCUCAAGGAGGAAGAGAAAAAGAACAAGGCGGCGGCGGCUGCUGCUGCUAGUGGAAAGCCUCAGAAGGCAUCUGCUGCUGACGAUGAUGACAUGGAUCCCACUCAAUACUACGAGAAUAGGCUCAAGACUCUUGAUUCACUCAAGGCCGCAGGUGUAAACCCCUAUCCACAUAAGUUUCCGGUUGGCAUCUCUGUAGUGGAAUACAUUGAGAAGUACAAGACCUUGAACAAUGGGGAGAAGCUUACAGAUGCGACAGAAUGUUUAGCUGGGAGGAUCAUGAACAAGAGAACAUCAUCAUCUAAGCUAUUCUUUUAUGAUCUUUAUGGUGGCGGCAUGAAGGUUCAAGUGAUGGCUGAUGCCAGGACCUCAGAGUUGGAUGAAGCAGAAUUCUCUAAGUACCACUCGAGUGUGAAGCGAGGUGAUAUUGUUGGCAUAUGUGGUUAUCCAGGAAAAAGCAACCGUGGGGAGCUUAGCCUGUUCCCGAAGAAAUUUGUCGUGCUCUCUCCAUGUCUUCAUAUGAUGCCUCGACAGAAAGGUGAAGGAAGUUCGGUGCCUGUAUCGUGGACUCCAGGAAUGGGUAGGAAUAUCGAAAAUUAUGUUUUGAGGGAUCAGGAAACUCGGUAUCGUCAGAGAUAUCUUGAUAUAAUGGUAAACCAUGAAGUGAGGCAUAUCUUCAAGACACGAUCUAAAGUUGUCUCAUUUAUCCGGAAGUUUCUUGAUGACCGCGAAUUUUUGGAGGUGGAGACUCCGAUGAUGAACAUGAUUGCUGGUGGAGCAGCUGCAAGGCCUUUUAUUACACACCACAAUGAAUUAAACAUGAGGCUUUUUAUGCGCAUUGCUCCUGAAUUAUAUCUGAAGGAAUUGGUUGUUGGUGGAUUGGACCGUGUUUAUGAAAUUGGAAAACAAUUCAGGAAUGAAGGAAUUGAUUUAACACACAAUCCUGAAUUCACAACUUGUGAGUUUUAUAUGGCUUAUGCCGAUUAUAAUGAUUUGAUGGAGCUUACUGAAACCAUGUUGUCAGGGAUGGUUAAGGAGCUGACAGGUGGCUAUAAGAUAAAAUAUCAUGCAAAUGGAGUUACGAACUCACCAAUAGAAAUUGAUUUCACACCUCCCUUCAGAAGGAUUGAUAUGAUUAAAGAUUUGGAGGCUAUGGCCAAUCUCAAUAUACCAAAAGAUCUAGCAAGUGAUGAAGCGAAUCGUUACUUGAUAGAAGCAUGUGCUAAGUAUGAUGUGAAAUGUCCACCUCCCCAAACGACAUCACGGUUGCUUGACAAGUUAGUUGGGCAUUUCUUGGAGGAGACAUGUGUGAAUCCAACAUUUAUCAUCAAUCAUCCAGAGAUAAUGAGUCCAUUGGCAAAGUGGCAUAGGUCUCGACCUGGAUUGACUGAGAGGUUUGAGCUAUUUGUUAACAAACAUGAGGUGUGCAAUGCAUACACAGAGUUAAACGAUCCUGUUGUGCAGAGACAACGGUUUGAGGAGCAACUAAAGGAUCGUCAAUCUGGUGAUGAUGAAGCUAUGGCCUUGGACGAAACAUUCUGUGCUGCCCUUGAGUAUGGUCUACCACCAACAGGUGGUUGGGGCUUGGGAAUUGAUCGCCUCACGAUGUUGCUUACAGAUUCUCAGAACAUUAAGGAAGUUCUUCUAUUUCCGGCUAUGAAGCCUCAAGAGUAGCUAUCCGCAUAGCCAAAAGCAACAAAAUGGCCUCAGCCAAAGGCCACAAAAGGUUCAAAGCAAACAUAGGCGCUGGAGGGUAUAUCUUAGCUCUUGGAUCUGUAUUGAACGAUACAUCCUUUUGCCCCUGUGCUCGGGAGCUUUCCAUUUUUUUCAUUAUUUUUUGUAAACUACCGCGUAUUUGCUGGCAGCAGGUUAUUAACCAGAAACUGUAACGUCACAGAAAGUUCAGUUUAACUUCGAAUGGA